GAUGAACGCUGGCGGCGUGCUUAAUACAUGCAAGUCGAACGGAGAGUUUUGUAGUAAUACGAAACUUCUCAGUGGCGAACGGGCGAGUAACGAGUUGGUGACCUGCCCCGAAGUGUGGGAUAACAGUCCGAAAGGAUUGCUAAUACCGCAUGUGAUCAUUGGUUUUAGAAUCUAAUGAUUAAAGCAGUAAUGCGCUUCGGGAGGGACCUGCUUCCCAUCAGCUAGUUGGUGAGGUAAUGGCCCACCAAGGCUACGACGGGUAAGGGACCUGAGAGGGUGGUCCCUCGCAAUGGCACUGAAACACGGGCCAUACACCUACGGGUGGCAGCAGUAGGGAAUAUUGGGUAAUGGGCGAAAGCCUGACCCAGCAACGCCGCGUGCACGAUGAAGGCCUUCGGGUCGUAAAGUGCUUUUCUGAGGGAUGAGUAAGGACAGUACCUCAGGAAUAAGCCUCGGCUAACUACGUGCCAGCAGCCGCGGUAAAACGUAGGAGGCAAGCG
rnacentral:rRNA from 1 species